UACGUAGGGAGCAAGCGUUGUCCGGAAUCAUUGGGCGUAAAGCGCGCGUAGGUGGCCCCAUAAGUCCGCUGUGAAAGUCAAAGGCUCAACCUUUGAAAGCCGGUGGAUACUGUGGGACUAGAGUACGGAAGAGGCGAGUGGAAUUCCUGGUGUAGCGGUGGAAUGCGCAGAUAUCAGGAGGAACACCAAUAGCGAAGGCAGCUCGCUGGGACGGUACUGACGCUAAGGCGCGAAAGCGUGGGGAGCGAACAGG
rnacentral:rRNA from 1 species